GACAGAGGGUGCAAACGUUGUUCGGAAUUACUGGGCGUAAAGCGUGUGUAGGUGGCUGCGUAAGUCGGAUGUGAAAGCCCUGGGCUCAACUCAGGAAGUGCACUCGAUACUGCGUAGCUCGAGUACCGGAGAGAUUGGUAGAAUUCUCGGUGUAGAGGUGAAAUUCGUAGAUAUCGAGAGGAAUACCUGUGGCGAAGGCGGCCAACUGGACGAGUACUGACACUGAGACACGAAAGCGUGGGGAGCAAACAGG
rnacentral:rRNA from 1 species